AUCACUUCUCGGCCUUUUGGCUAAGAUCAAGUGUAGUAUCUGUUCUUAUCAGUUUUAAAUCCAUCUGAAACAUAUAUGUUAUCACCAUAAUGACUUUACUUUCAUAUAAACAUCU
rnacentral:snRNA from 1 species